UACGGGGGGAGCAAGCGUUGUUCGGAUUUACUGGGCGUAAAGGGCGCGUAGGCGGUCAUGACAAGUCACUUGUGAAAUCUCCGGGCUUAACUCGGAACGGUCAAGUGAUACUGUCAGACUAGAGUGCAGAAGGGGCAACUGGAAUUCUCGGUGUAGCGGUGAAAUGCGUAGAUAUCAAGAGGAACACCUGCGGCGAAGGCGGGUUGCUGGGCCGACACUGACGCUGAUGCGCGAAAGCUAGGGGAGCGAACGGG
rnacentral:rRNA from 1 species